GACGAACCACCCAAACGUUAUUCGGAAUUACUGGGCUUAAAGGGUGCGUAGGCGGUGCGGAAAGUUGGGUGUGAAAUACCUCAGCUCAACUGAGGAAUGGCGCUCAAAACUACCGUGCUCGAGGGAGAUAGAGGUGAGCGGAACUUAGGGUGGAGCGGUGAAAUGCGUUGAUAUCCUAAGGAACACCGGUGGCGAAAGCGGCUCACUGGAUCUCUUCUGACGCUGAGGCACGAAAGCUAGGGUAGCGAACGGG
rnacentral:rRNA from 1 species